rnacentral:tRNA from 1 species
GUGCCUGUAGCUUAAUGGAUAGAGCAAGCGGCUUCGGACCGUUUAGUGGGGGUUCGACUCCUCUCAGGUGCG